UUACCGAUCAAAUGUCCUUUAAAAGGUUCGACCCCAUGAAAGUCUUUGAAUAAUUCGUACACUGAGUGAAAUACAGGCCUGCUUAUAAACAAGACAGGCUGUUGUAGUAGGUGACUGGUUUACAUCACUAACCAAAUGAGAACUAUCAGUGAUUUGGAGUCGGUGGAAACGUUUUCGUGUACCAAUAAAAUGAGGAAAGGAUGAAGAUAAAUCAGUGUUCGACAAUAAAUCAAUGCGGCAUGAGGGAUGAGCGUGUGUGGGGGAUGGGACUCAACGCGCAGAUGACAGGCCAUAUGGAGUCGGCCUUCUUUUUUGGACACAAUUUGAUGAACUAAUACUUUCUAAGGGCUUAUUGCGGUGUUAACCAAAUAUUUAUUUCACGUGAAAUUGUUUACGUCGAAGAAUAAACAGUCAAUGGUGUCAUGGCGCAUGUACGAUGACCUUAUUUCUUCAAGAGACUUGUGGUUUAUUUGCAAGUACGCAUUCCAUAAGAGCAUUAACGGUUAGAAUAAAAAAAAAAUCAAAUCAAACCUAAAAUAAAAACGUAUAUUUCGAGUAGUUUGAGUCAAACUCAAACUGCACUUGUGCAUCAAGAAAUGAAUAAAAAGGAAAGUGUGCAUUGUUUAGAAAUCACGACGAUGAAAUAAAACCAAACCGUGCAUCAUGAAAAGUGCAGAAACUAUUUUCCAAACGGCUAAUGUUUGGUAAGCCGACAGAUGCCACCUCUUUCCACCAGAGUAUAAUCCUCUCUGAAGGGAAGGGAACAGAGGAGCAGGACGGAGAGCUUCAGUGUGUGUGAUAAACUGGGCUGCUCUCCUCCUCUCUGUCAGAUCGCGCUCUGCAUCACACCAUUUCACAUGAUGACCGACUCUGCAUACGAGCACCGAAGCCUUCUGCUCUGGCUAUUUGCUUCUAACAUGCAUUUUUCUGCUUUCCUUUUUCGUUUAUCUUGAAGAAAUCCGAGUGAUGCAACACUGUAAUCGGAAAUGAUUUAUGUCGCAUCCAACAGCAUCAAGGUGCGCAAAAGCGUGCGGAACAUUUGAUGAUUUUGGAACGACGCUCUUCUGCACCGACUGCCUUGUGGACAUUUCCCCCAAACUGGAUAUAUGGACAAUUAUUAUCUCGAGGGAUAAAAACCUAUUAUUUAUAUCCUGCUUCGCAAGGUGUAUUUGUCUCAUAUGACAGCAGACUGUAAAUGCAUUGAGGUGCCACUGUAUCAAAUUAUGUCAGGCUAUAUUAAUAGGUUCUUUGAUUUUCAGACUGAAUGGACGUCACUGAAUGGAUCGCCUAAUUAAAAUCCAAUUCGCGGGGAAUUUUCCUUUCUGUGUAUAUGGCGCAAGGUCGGCUUUGACAAAUGGUCCCCUCCACUUUUUUCCCAAUAUUUAGUUUACCCCCUUCUGAUGCAGGUGCUUUCAACUGCCCCCACCUUCUAACAUAUACCCCGCCCGACCCCCCACACGAGGCGGCGGUGUCUCUAGUCCCACAGUUUCCCCCUUCUUUCUUACCUCUGCUGCAUUUUGCAUGAGCUAUCUAGGUCAUUAGCAUUUUAGCGUAUGCAAGACUUGACAAAGCUGGUGAGGAGCCAGAUGGGCCCUCUACUAUUUUUUAUAUCUCAUGGGAGUUGAGCAAGGGACCAACUGCAUGCAGCAAGCCACUGAGCGCUUUCUUUUUAUUGCCAUCACUCGGGCCUUAUGUAGCACCAACACAUGAUGGAGAGAUGCGCACCGCGUCCUGUGGAAAUAACGCGCUCGUGCCAUUCGAAAAAUAGGUAAUGUAAUACCUGGGAACGCUUGUUUGAUAUAUUAUGUGUGUGUUGAUGCACAGAUGCUUUAAGAAUGCAAUGUUGGAUGCUGAUGCUACACAAGUCGGAGGAGGAGGACGUAGACAUUUUGGUGCAACAUCGUUGCUGGCAUAUAGUACUGUAGCUAGUUGUGCGAUUCUCAACAUUGUGGUUGAAAACAGGCCUGCUUUUCUUCGUGUUCACAGCGGACCUUGAUUUAAAUGUCCAUACAAUUAAGGCACGCGGUGAAUGCCAAGAGAGAUGGCAAAUAUCAUCGAUGACUGUUUUUAUAACAGCACAACGCAGAUAGUGUCCGUGUUUGCGAUGCAUGACAGUUCUUAUUUUCUUUCGCUCGGUUUUUGUGAGAGAGCGCGCGCGCGCUCGUGUGUGUGUGUGUGGAGGUGAACCGACGCAUCAAUGCGGCCAAACUAAUCUUUAAUAUUUCAUUGCGUUCUUCCAUAAUUUUGUGUUGCGCAUCCGUGCGUAUCCUUGAAUAUUAUGAAGAGUCAUUAUGAGCAUAAGAGUUCAAAACACUAACAAUUAACCUGGAGGUCUGAUGAAACGUCCUUUUGGUAUUUGUCUAUUAUAGAGGACGCUUUUAAAAUCUAGAAAUGCCACAUCUGAAGACAUGUAGCACACGAUGUCUUCAGGAGAAGAUGAAGAAUAUAAUAUGGAUAGAAAAGUUGUGAGGCCUAGAAUGACAACCAAUUUAAACAGAACACAUCACGAACCGUUCAGGAUUUCUUGAAUUCAUGAACACUUAAAACGACAGCAGUGGGUCCGAGUGACACUUGUCAUGUGUCCUCAUUCUAAAGACAGAAAAUAUUACGCAUGUACGUUUGUAUCGUAUCCUUGAUACUGUAAAUCAUUUUAGUUUGUCAAUAAAAGCACAUAUCCACGAAGCAAACAUUAAUUUCUUAUUUUUUUUCACGCAAUAUUUGCCACUUCAUAUUUCGAUUUAUCAGAACACACACUUUUUUUAUCUAGCCUACUGUCUCCACUUAUAUAUUAUAUAUAUAUAUAUAUAUAUAUAUAUAUAUAUAUAUAUAUAUAUGAUAUAAGAUGCAGGCAAUAGAGACAAAGUUAACAGCUUUUUAAUUGCAGUUUAAGCGAUAUUUGACAUAAAUUCACAAUGACGUUCACAAUUUCAGAAUAAAUAUUUUAUUUGGCGUCGAAAAGAUAGAAGAUACAUGCCUGAUUCCAUAUAGAAUAAGUCCACUAAGAACUUUUAUCCCUCAGUUCUAGAAAAUCUACGGAUGCUUUAAAGAACCCAUCAAAACAUUGAUCUGAGGAAUAUAAUGCAACACCAAUAACGUUUUAAAGAACCAGCCAAGAACAGCAAACAUGUUCCUUGAUGAAUUUAAGAGGACCAUUGAAAAGCCUUUAUUUACACGCUUCUAAUGGUCUAUAUUCCGGUUUAUAAUGGAAACUGAAGCGGGUUUCGAUUACAUAAACGGUCAUUUUACAUUAUAGUCGCCUUAAACAUGCCAUUAAUUACAGCUCUUGACAUAAUAUUUCAUCUUCACUUCAUAUGAAAUGUACAUUUUUAGAGAUACAUCCCAAACAUUGUUUCAUCAUUGUAUUCCUAUAGCCUACCCUAUAACCGCGAACCGCUUUUCAAGGUCAUUUAGCUAAUGGUUGCUUUUGGAAAUAUGGGCCUAUAGGCUUUUGCCAAAUGAUUUGGUAACACUUUAUUUUAAGGUGACGUAGUUACACGUUACUACAUGUACUUACUAUAGUAAUAACAGUAAAUUAUGCAUAAUUACAAGUAGCCUAACUAACCCUAAACCAAACCCUAACCCUAACUCUAUAGUAUAAGUAGCCUACAUGUAGUUAAUUAAUAUUACUCAGUACUUAUCUGAGUAAUUACAAUGUAACUAAGUCACCUUAAAAUAAAGUAUAACCAAUGAUUUUUAUAAUUAAAUAGGCAGCUGAAACUGUUCUAUUAGGUAAACGCGCAUAGCUUCUAUUCGCCAAUGAACGAUAUCAAAGAAAACAUGCUUUUGUUGCGUCAUAAUAAUUUAAAUUUUACUUGUAGGCUACCAGUCGAAUUGUAGUUUAAUGAUUUUCGUCCAUGAGGCUACUAAUCAGGGUUAACGUUGUGUAUCAUUUCCGUUAGAGGUUUAAAUAUUAUUUAAGCGCCAAUAUAAACCACACGUAGCCUACAUGAGCCUACUCGUCUGCUUAGGCUGCAGUUUUCAUUUCAAAGGUUCAGGAAAAAAAGAAAGAAGCGCACACGGGCAGUUUGCGUGACAUAAAUGGCUUCAUUUUACUGGAGGUGAAUGAUGUAACCUCGAAUUAGUGCACUAAAAUAGUCAAAGACAUCGCAGAAGAGAAAAAUUAGAAAUUAUGCAGAACACAGAAUUUUCCGCCUUUUAGCAACAGCCUUUUCUAAGAAGCGAACGGUGUGUGGCCUUGUCGAAAAUGCUAUAUCCUUUAAAGGGUAUUUAAGGACACUGCAUAAUGUCAGAUCAACCUCAUUAGGCAGAGGUGUAGCCUACAUUAGCAUAUUUCAUCAAAAGAAUAUUUAGGUCGCAGAUUAAAUUCAGACAGCUGCCCCUGUGUUUUUAAUCAGCGAGUUGGUAAUUUUUUUGUAAAUGUUGAUUCUUGAAGGACGCGGGGACACAGUAGCAGUGUGACACAAAAGGAAGUUAUUUCAAUGGGAUUUGCAUGGGUGGAUUUAAAUGAAAGUUAUUGGAUGUUAUUAUGACCAAAUACAGAGUUAUGUUAAUUGGUAUUUAUUUAAUGAGAUGAGCAAAACUGUCAGGUAAGACUACACUUGUGGCAAAUAAAAACAAAGUUAGUGCCUGUUCUGGGUGCAAAUUAUAGCCUACAACUAUUUUAAAUGAACUAGAGUUUUAAAGAUUUUUAAACACCUGCUAAAUGAUUAAAAUGUAAUCGUCAUUUUUCUGUCGAGGUUCGUCUGGCACAACGCAAAUAGUCAUUUCGCGUCAUUAUCAGUAAAAAAAAAAAUAUCAUAAAUCAUAGGCUAACUAAAGCACUACAUUUGUGUGAUAUAAAAAGAUGCAUAAUGACAUUAGGCUACGUGUAACGCUUCAUCGUCAUAACGCGUUUGCAAGUAAAAAUUCGCGCCCUUGUAAUGUAACCUAAAGAAACAUUUGAAAACAACGUAGAAACACACACACACACACACACGCGUACAGAAUUAUAGAAAAUAAGAAUAUGUUGACUACCCAUGUUCAGGCCUUAUUUAGGUGGUCUGACCCCCAUAAAUCGUUCCUAAGUUUGACAGUUCUUUUCUGUCUUUUUAUACAAGCGAUGCAACUAAGCACCAUCAGUGUAAUAUAAUUCCAUCCAGUUAUAUAAUUGAAAACAAAACCACCCACAAGUCCCACUAAUUUCUUUGAUGCUUAUUUUUACAUAUUAAAAUAUUCGUAUAAAUAUGCCUCGAGGUUUAAUGCGUUUUUAUGGAACAAAGAUCUGGCUCGAAAUAAAAAGGAAUUCUCCACAUUAUUA